CGGACCUCGCUUCGUUCUUUUACUUCCGGCACCUAAAAGAAGUGGUUCGAAAUGGAGCCGUCAACACCAAAAGGCCCACAGCAGUCUGUACAAGUAUUCGGACGAAAGAAAACGGCUACUGCUGUGGCUCACUGCAAACGUGGAAAUGGUCUGAUUAAAGUGAAUGGACGUCUCCUGGAACACGUGGAACCCCAGGUUCUCAGAUACAAGCUUCAGGAGCCAGUCCUGCUGCUGGGUAAGGAGAAAUUUGCUGGGGUGGACAUCCGAGUGCGAGUCCGAGGAGGUGGUCAUGUAGCCCAAGUGUAUGCUAUCCGACAGGCUAUCUCAAAGUCCCUGGUGGCCUACUACCAGAAAUGUAAGCAUUUCAUGUUUUCUUGCCUCAGUGUUAGAACUGGUAAAAAGUGCUUAGGGCUAUUUCAGAAAUGAUCAAAUGGGGGGUCGGGCGGCAAACGAUAUUUUUUUGUGUGGGUGGUCGUAUUUUUUCAUAUUUUAUUUGAUCUGUGGUUGGACUGUUAAAAAAAUGUUUAUUAUGGGAAGGGGGUAGUUUCUAUUGUUUUUUAAUUUUGUGCCACGUGGGUGUUGAGUUUUCAGAAUAUUUUUAUUGUCACUCUUGUCAUGUUGGUUACAAAAUGUCGGAGGGAAAAUUGAAAACACGCUUUCGAAAUCGGAAGUAACAUAGAACUAUUCGAGUUGUCGCUCUUUGUAGCGUAUAACUUUCUAUUUCCAUUACGGCACUCUUCAAAUUGAGGCGUGUUUAUUUAGUAGGGUCCCUUGGGACGUGAUGGCGGCGAACUCUGUAGAUUAUUACAGUUUACAGUGCAUCGAUUUUUUUGGAAUAUUUUGAAAUCAAUAGGUAUUCCGUUUUCUAAUAAAAAUAGGCAAACCUUGGUUGAUUUAUGCGAGAGUACCGAUGCGUUUUAUUUACCAGUCAGUGUGAUGGUGAUAUAGAGGCCUCCAUUAGAAGAUGAACGAUUCGUGGAAAAACAUAUCCAUACCCAUUUCAUGAUAAUAGCAUCACUUGGACUCCCAAUCUUUCCAACAUUCCCGCCAUAGAUGCCUUUGAUUGUUGAUGUGACAUCGUUUCUUCAGAACUACUGUGAUACAAUGUCGCACAGGCAUUACCGCGUCAUUGACUACUAGAAUGUUUGUCCCGAAAACCUCUCGAGAUUUGUACUGUUUUCACUCUCCGACUAUAAAUAUUUUUCGUUGAAAAAUCAAUGGAUUUACCCAAUUUUUUGGAUUGUCCAGACUAUCUUCCAUCUAAGAACAUUCAAUUUUACAUGGAAAAAGCAGAGCAGAGUGAUCACACAGAAAACUCAGAACAACUUCAAAAUUUGAUAGGUGUUUCAAAAGAUGACAUUAAAAAAUAUAUUCAUCAGAGACAGGAGAAAGAGGCAUUAUCUGAAAAACCAGGGAUCACCCCUAGGCCAACUAACAGUUGCUGACUUGAAGUGGCAUUUAGAAAAGCACUGUGUCUCAUUUACAAGGGAGCAAAAUAACAAAGCAGAUUUGUUGGUAUUACUACUAAGAUAGUGUAGUGAAAAAAUCUGAUUUAUCACAGGAAGAAUUUUUGAAUGAAUAACAAUAUUUUGUCUCCAUUGCUGAUCAUGUUUAGGCUAAUCCAAAUUCAUUCACUGUUCUUUUGGACCUGCUCACUCUUAAAUUUUAAGUGUUGUUUUUGGCCUUUAACGUUUUCUUUGUAAAUGCCCACUGCAUUUAAAGCAUAUGAGCUUCUUUAAAUAUUUUUUGUGUGUGCUUUCAUUUUAUAGUAUUAAAAUCUAAAAUUUUAAAUCAAAAUAGUUUGGUGGCUUGCUAUUAAAGAACACAAUUUCCUGUAUUUUUAAAUUACAUAAGUUUUCCUUUCAUCAUAAUUUAGGCUUCAUUCACCAAACUGAAGUUUAUAGUGCAAAAAAAAAAAUCUCUUGUGCGUCUAAUUUGAGCAAAAAGUCUAAACUAGUCAUUAGUUUGGAAUUACCUUUAGUGCUUAUAUGUUAAGCUGACAAUGUUUGAAUAUGUUUUAAAAAAUUGAAAGUUGAUGUGUUAUGUUUAUAAAGAGUUCGCAUUGAUAUGUUUGCACACUUUGUCAUACCAUUUACAUACAUGUCAAGAUAAUGCAACAUCACAAACAGUAUUUUAUUCAGUGCCAUAAGCAUGAUAAUUGUAUGAAGAAUAUCUUGAGCAAUAUUCUUGAGCAAACAAGCCAGUUUGAUGAAGGGCCCAUCCCUCAUAAGGCAUUGUUAUUAUAAAAGAGAAAAGAAAAUCCUGUCAGUAAUUCGUCUUUCUUAUUUGGUAUAGUCUAAAUGAAAUAUUGAUGAAAGAUGAUACUCAGAACAGAACAUUUAUCAAUUUAUUUCAUUUAAGAAGCUUAAAUAUAAAAAUAGAAGAAGAGAUGUAGUGUGAAGUCAAUAUGAAAUGCCAAACCACAGACAUUAGACGUGUACAGGUCAUCAUUCUACCUUAAUGAUUGGGCCAAACCAAUAUCAUGGAGCAUGGCUGUGUCAAAGGCCGCAUGAAAAUAAAAGCUGUGAGAUUAUUCAUAAAAGAUGAGAAUCUACUGCAGAAAUGUACAAUCAUCUAUAUUAAUCCUGAAAACCAAUAGCUACUGGACAAUAUGUUCCUGGCUUGGGUUUAAACAUAUUUGUUAGUGUUCAACCCUUCUCCUAUAAAUUUAAUACAGUAAUCAACAAAACAAGCUAUUAAAAUCUGUAAGAAUUUUAUUGAACUCUUGAGUUUGAUACAGAAUGCAAUCAGUUGAAAUUUUUUUACAAGAGACAAGUAGUAACCAUCAAAAGAGUACUCGGUUUCUGUAUGAUAGUUAAAAAAUAAAACAAUAUACCCAAAUUUGAAUGAAUGAUCUCUGUUUAUAGCAAAAGAAUUAGCACACCUACUGCUGCAUAUGAACCCAGUAAUGAAUGGAGCAUUUGCAGGCAGCCAUAUUUCCCAUGUAUCAAAAAAAGUGCCUGAAACAUUUCAUUUUGAAAAUGCAUGUUUUACAAGUGAAUGACGUGUUAGUUUAUAAGGUAAAUACCAAUAUCAAGCUGUGAAGUGAAACAAAAUGCAUACUAGUAGUAUCAUUAUUAAUGUACAUUGCAGUUUUUCUCAGUGAAGUGCCCUUAUCUCAUUAGAUGUAUAAUGUUUGCAGGGUAUUUGGUCUGGUUAGGUUUUUUUUUAAUUAGAUGGGUCAUUGUAAAAUGAGUUUUAUCAAUUUGAUGGGUCAUGGGGCAAUUAUUUUUUUUUUUUUUUUUAUGGGUGCUUGGUAUGUACAAAAGGUGCCUUUCUACCCCCCCCCCCCCCCCCCUCCCAUGUAUUUAUUUCUGGAAUAGCUCUUAACUAAAUAUGUUAGAGGUACAAUUAUAUUUUGUUCUCCAUGCAUGUAAUAUCAAAGGAUUACCUGAUCAAACUAUAAUCAUGGUCAGUUGUUCCGACUUUUCAUUUCAUAUGAUAAAAUGAAGGAGCAUGCCCCUUUUCAUUGGCAAGUUAGGCCAAUUUUUUUUUUAAAUUGGUUUACGAUUUUCAAAAUUUUCAAAUCCAUUCAGAGGAGGUAAAAAAAAAAAAGUUCAAAUGACAAAAUGUCAAGUAAUAAAAAUGAACUUGAUUUGAGGUCAAUGUUUUAUUAUCAACUUGAAUAUUCUCUUCACUGUCAACUUGGUGCUAUAUAGCGACUAUUGUGCACCUUGGCAACAAUGCUGUUUCCUUCAGAAAUGUUAUUUGUUUAAUAAAUUAACUUUCUAUCUUUAUCAAAUGUCCAUUGUUUACCGUUUAGUUAUGUAAAUCCCAAAAUAAAAGAACCACAUCGUUUUUCCAUUCAAAAGAUGACAUAUAUAGGGACGCACUAAUCACCUGAAGUACUAAAAUCCUGACUGACCUUACCAAGCAUAUAUUUUGUGUAAAAUUUACUUCUAAGUUUUAAAGUCUUAUUUAUGAAGUCAAGUAAAGUUAUAAAUAAAAUUCAUAAACCCUCUAAACAUUUAUUCAAAAAUUCUGAAUUUUAAUAGGUCGGAUCAAUUUAUUGUUGGUAGUCAACAAAUUUUAUACAAUGAAUGAAUUCAAUAAUGUUAAAUAUGUUUUCAACCUCUUUCAAUAUAUGAAGAAUUACACAUAUUAAUUAUGAAGAAUAUUUCUUUAAAAUUCAUUAAUAAGAAUUUAAAAGUGUAUACUCAGCAAAAUGUAUGCAUGGUAAGGUCAGGUAGGGUUAUACUUGUUUAGGUGAUUAGUGCAACCCAAUGUACGUCAUGGAUGCCAUCUGAAAACAAGUGUUUGUUUUUAUUUUUGGGAUUUACAUAUCUAAAUGGUAUGCAAUGCAUAACUAAUGCUAAUUAGAAGUUAGUUUCAUAAACAGAUAACUUAUUGGAAGCAAACAGCAUUGUUACUAAGGUGCAGAAUAAUUGUUAGCACCGGCUGAAGUUGACUGAUAUUCCACACAUGAAUAUUAUGGACUGUCCCGAGAUUUUGAUUGGUCUCUGUCCAAAUAUCCAGUCCAGCGGAAUCUAUUUUCUUUUCUUUCUUUUUUUCCUUUUUUUGUGAAAAGGAAAAAUUACAGUGUCGGAAAUAUAAAAAGGAGUGAAAAACCAUUUUAUUUUUCUUCCAACAUCCCAAAAAAUCAGUUUGGCGGAUCCGUAAACCAACUCGAUAAAAAAAAGGCCUUAAUUGGAAAAUAGGAUGGGGUGUUAUAAAAUAAUUUUAGAGGACUUAGGGUGAACAUAAGAAAUCAAAUUCCCAAGAACACAAGGAUGCAAGAUGUCAAAUUUGAUUACAUAUAUCCUUGUGUAGAGUAGAAUUGAGUUUGUUGAAUUCAUGGCCCAUCCCCACCCUGUCUGCCCGGGCUAGAAAAGGAAUUUAAAUUUAAGGUUGAUAUACAUGUAUGUACAGUAAAACAUGGUUACAGUGAACACACUUGUGAUGAAUUCACGCUUACAGCAAAGUGAUUUUCAUUCCUUAUAGUUUAAAACAUAAUUUAAACUUGUUGUAUUAAAGUACGUAUGUACAUAUUUCAUUGAAUCUAUUGGACAUAUCAAAUUAGUGUAUAAUGAAUCAAAAUGAUUCCUUCCCAGCACUGCACUAGAAGCAUUGGUUACUGUACAGGGAAUCACAAAGGCACAAAUGUGUCAGUUCAGGUUCACACCAUGACCCUGGGGGGAGGGGGGGGGGGGAUACUGUGAAGAAGUACCAUGGUUAUAAGAGAUCUGCUGUAUAGCAAUGUUACACAGUUUGGUCUUUAAACUUUUUAGUUUAAAGUAAUGUUUGUGAACGGAGUUAAUUGAAUUAUAACUUUGGUCUUUAAACUUUUUAGUUUAAAGUAAUGUUUGUGAACGGAGUUAAUUGAAUUAUAACUCAACCUUGUCCAACUUGCAGAUGUUGAUGAAGCCUCUAAGAAGGA